rnacentral:rRNA from 1 species
AUUGAACGCUGGCGGCAGGCCUAACACAUGCAAGUCGAGCGGAUGACGGGAGCUUGCUCCUCGAUUCAGCGGCGGACGGGUGAGUAAUACCUAGGAAUCUGCCUGAUAGUGGGGGACAACGUUUCGAAAGGAACGCUAAUACCGCAUACGUCCUCCGGGAGAAAGCAGGGGACCUUCGGGCCUUGCGCGAUCAGAUGAGCCUAGGUCGGAUUAGCUAGUUGGUGAGGUAAUGGCUCACCAAGGAGACGAUCCGUAACUGGUCUGAGAGGAUGAGCAGUCACACUGUAACUGAGACACGGUCCAGACUCCUACGGGAGGCAGCAGUGGGGAAUAUUGGACAAUGGGCGAAAGCCUGGUCCAGCCAUGCCGCGUGUGUGAAGAAGGUCUUCGGAUUGUAAAGCACUUUAAGUUGGGAGGAAGGGCAGUAAGCUAAUACCUUGCUGUUUUGACGUUACCGACAGAAUAAGCACCGGCUAACUCUGUGCCAGCAGCCGCCGCAGUAA